AUUGAACGCUGGCGGCAUGCUUUACACAUGCAAGUCGAACGGCAGCGCGGUCUUCGGCCUGGCUGCGAGUGUCGAACGGGUGAGUAAUGCAUCGGAACGUGCUCAGCAGUGGGGGAUAGCCCGGCGAAAGCCGUAUUAAUACCGCAUACGACCUGCGGGUGAAAGCGGGGGACCGAAAGGCCUCUCGCUAUUUGAGCGGCCGAGGUCGGACUUGCUAGUUGGUGGGGUAAAGGCUUACCAAGGCGACGAUCCGUAGCUGGUCUGAGAGGACGACUAGCCACACUGGAACUGAGACACGGCCAAGACUCCUACGGGAGGCAGCAGUGGGGUAUUGUGGACAAUGGGGGCAACCCUGAUCCAGCGAUGCCGAGUGCGAGAAGAAGGCCUUCGGGUUGUAAAGCGGGUUUGUGCGGGAAGAAAUCCUCUGGGCUAAUACCAAGGGGGGAUGACGGUACCGGAAGAAUAAGCACCGGCUAACUACGUG
rnacentral:rRNA from 1 species